GUGCUCACUUUUGCACCACAUAUACUAAAAUUGGAACAAUACAGAGAAGAUUAGCAUGGCCCCAAUGCAAGGAUGACAUACAACUUCGUGAAGCGUUCCAUAUUUUU
rnacentral:snRNA from 1 species